rnacentral:tRNA from 1 species
ACUCUCCUAAUAUAAUAAAUAUAAGUGACUACCACUCACUUCAUCUUAGACACUCUAAGGGAGAGAA